AUAUGUGCAUCAGUAUAUCUGUAGCAUUCUAUGUUGAAAUUAACACUAUAAACUUAAAAUUUUUCUUUUCUUAUAGGGGUAUGAAGAUUGGCUUAGACACAGAGCUGAUAAUGAAGUUAACAAAAGUGCUGUUUAUAUUAUUGAAAAUGCAAAGCGAGUGAGGAAAGAAAGUGAAAAAAUCAAGGUUGGUGAUGUAGUAGAAGUACAGGCAAAUGAAACCUUUCCCUGUGAUCUUAUACUUCUGUCAUCCUGUACAACUGAUGGAACCUGUUAUGUCACUACAGCCAGUCUUGAUGGUGAAUCUAAUUGCAAGACACAUUAUGCAGUACGAGAUACCAUUGCACUGUGUACAGCCGAAUCCAUUGAUAAUCUCCGAGCAACAAUUGAAUGUGAGCAGCCUCAACCUGAUCUCUACAAGUUUGUUGGGCGAAUCAGUAUCUAUAGUAAUAGUAUUGAGGCUGUUGCCAGGUCUUUGGGACCUGAAAAUCUUUUGCUGAAAGGAGCCACACUUAAAAAUACCAAGAAGAUAUAUGGUGAACAACUUUAAACAUAUGCUGUUAAAAUGUUUAUUAAAAUCUAUGGAGAAAAAAAUAAUGCAUGCUAAAAGUGAACAUGGCAGAUACCUGCCUUUUAUUCUCAAUGUAUAUUUAUGUGCUGAAAAUUUACAGGAUAAUAAAUUAACAUGACUGACAUUGUAUCCUACUUAA
rnacentral:lncRNA from 1 species